CAGUAGCCGCGGGAAAACGUAGGUGGCAAGCGUUGUCCGGAAUUAUUGGGCGUAAAGGGCUCGCAGGCGGUUUAGUAAGUCUGAAGUUAAAGGCAUUGGCUCAACCAAUGUAUGCUUUGGAAACUGUUAGACUUGAGUGCAGAAGGGGAGAGUGGAAUUCCAUGUGUAGCGGUGAAAUGCGUAGAUAUAUGGAGGAACACCGGUGGCGAAAGCGGCUCUCUGGCUUGUAACUGACGCUGAGGCUCGAAAGCGUGGGGAGCAAACAGGAUUAGAUACCCGCGUAGUCCCUGUCUCUUAUACA
rnacentral:rRNA from 1 species